GGAGAGGUGGCCGAGUGGUCUAAGGCAGUUGACUCGAAAUCAACCGUGGGGUUUUGCUCCACCAAGGGUUCAAAUCCCUUCUUCUCCG
rnacentral:tRNA from 1 species